GACGGAGCGACGCCGCGUGUGGGAUGAAGUCCUUCGGGAUGUAAACCACUGUCAGGGGAAAGAAAGUUCUGAUCUACCCCAGAGGAAGGCACGGCUAACUCUGUGCCAGCAGCCGCGGUAAGACAGAGGUGCCGAGCGUUAGGCAGAAUCACUGGGCUUAAAGCGUGUGUAGGCGGGCCUGCAAGUACCUUGUGAAAUCCCACGGCUCAACUGUGGAACUGCUUGGUAUACUGCCGGUCUUGAGGCAUCUAGAGGCAACUGGAACAAACGGUGGAGCGGUGAAAUGCGUAGAUAUCGUUUGGAACGCCUAAGGUGAAAACAGGUUGCUGGGGAUGUUCUGACGCUGAGACACGAAAGCCAGGGGAGCGAACGGGAUUAGAUACCCCGGUAGUCCUGGCCCUAAACGAUGUCCACUAGAUCGCAGCAGCUCUGACGUUGUUGUGGUCGUAGCAAAAGUGCUAAGUGGACCGCCUGGGAAGUACGGUCGCAAGGCUA
rnacentral:rRNA from 1 species